AGUGAACGCUGGCGGCGUGCUUAACACAUGCAAGUCGAACGAGAACGGAUUAUAGCUUGCUAUAAUUGUCAGCUAAGUGGCGCACGGGUGAGUAAUGUAUAGGUAAUAUGCCUCUUACUAAGGGAUAACAAAUGGAAACGUUUGCUAAUACCUUAUACUCCUUAUUAACCUAAGUUAAUAAGGGAAAGAUUUAUUGGUAAGAGAUUAGCCUGUAUUGUAUCAGUUAGUUGGUGGGGUAAUGGCCUACCAAGACUAUGACACAUAACUGGUUUGAGAGGAUGAUCAGUCACACUGGAACUGAGACACGGUCCAGACUCCUACGGGAGGCAGCAGUGGGGAAUAUUGCACAAUGGACGAAAGUCUGAUGCAGCAACGCCGCGUGGAGGAUGACACAUUUCGGUGCGUAAGCUCCUUUUAUAUGAGAAGAUAAUGACGGUAUUAUAUGAAUAAGCACCGGCUAACUCCGUGCCAGCAGCCGCCGUAACAC
rnacentral:rRNA from 1 species